UUGUCGUCAGCUCGUGUCGUGAGAUGUUGGUUAAGUCCCGCAACGAGCGCAACCCUCGACCUUAGUUGCCAGCAUUCAGUUGGGCACUCUAAGGUGACUGCCGGCUAAAAAGUCGGAGGAAGGUGGGGAUGACGUCAAAUCAUCAUGCCCCUUAUGACCUGGGCUACACACGUGCUACAAUGGGCGGUACAAAGGGUCGCGAACCCGCGAGGGGGAGCCAAUCCCAAAAAGCCGCUCUCAGUUCGGAUUGCAGGCUGCAACUCGCCUGCAUGAAGCCGGAAUCGCUAGUAAUCGCGGAUCAGCAUGCCGCGGUGAAUACGUUCCCGGGCCUU
rnacentral:rRNA from 1 species